rnacentral:rRNA from 1 species
AGAUUGAACGCUGGCGGCAUGCCUUACACAUGCAAGUCGAACGGCAGCACGGGAGCAAUCCUGGUGGCGAGUGGCGAACGGGUGAGUAAUACAUCGGAACGUGCCCAGUAGUGGGGGAUAACCCGGCGAAAGCCGGACUAAUACCGCAUACGACCUAUGGGUGAAAGCAGGGGAUCGCAAGACCUUGCGCUAUCGGAGCGGCCGAUGUCAGUAUUAGCUUGUUGGACGGGGUAAAAGCCC